ACCGAUAGUGAACCAGUACCGUGAGGGAAAGGCGAAAAGAACCCCUGUGAGGGGAGUGAAAUAGAACCUGAAACCGUCUACGUACAAGCAGUGGGAGCCCCAUCACUAAGACACCUUAUCUUAGUGAGACGCUAUCACUUUGUUUAUUGGGUUAACCACGCGAAGCGUGGGUCAACCGCCCAAUCAAGCAGAGGUGACUUAGUGAUGGGGUGACCGCGUACCUUUUGUAUAAUGGGUCAGCGACUUAAUGUUAGUAGCAAGGUUAACCGCAUAGGGGAGCCGUAGGGAAACCGAGUCUUAACUG
rnacentral:rRNA from 1 species